rnacentral:lncRNA from 1 species
GGAUGUUUAAGAUUUUCCUUUUUCUUUUUUUGAUAAAUUUUUAUGGUCGGUUUGGUUGAAGGUAAUCUAAUAUAGGAAAAUAAAUUCCAGAUUUCUAUGUUUGGUAUAGAAAGUGGAUAAAAGAAAUAAUAAAAUAAAUGGUGGUUCCUUUAUUUAUUUUUCUGAGGAAAAAGGUAAAAUAAAAACCAACAAGAGUUGGUAUUUGUUUUCUGUAUUA